UACGGAAUGUGCAAACGUUAUUCGGAAUCACUGGGCUUAAAGAGUCCGUAGGCGGCAUGUUAGGUGAGGUGUGAAAUCCCCCGGCUCAACCGAGGAAUUGCGCUUCAAACCGGCGUGCUUGAGGAAGAUAGAGGUGGGCGGAACUGAUGGUGGAGCGGUGAAAUGCGUUGAUAUCAUCAGGAACACCAAUGGCGAAGGCAGCUUGCUGGGCCACUCCUGACACUGAGGUACGAAAGCGUGGGGAGCGAACAGG
rnacentral:rRNA from 1 species